GUCUCUCCGAAGACAUUUGAUAAAAUUGGAACGAUACAGAGAAGAUUAUCAUGGACCCCGGUGCAAAGAUGACAAGCACAAAUUGAGAAAUGGUCCAGAUUUUU
rfam:Solanum lycopersicum cultivar Heinz 1706 chromosome 12, whole genome shotgun sequence.